CGGUGUCCAACUGGCGUGUCCGCGGGACGUCCUGCCGGUGGGCUUAGCCCGCAAGGGCGGCCCAACUUCAAAUCCCAUCGCGGUGCUCUUCACUGAGUGUCGAGGUGGGCCGGCACGUUUACUUUGAACAAAUUAGAGUGCUUAAAGCAGGCUAAAACUUCGCCUGAAUACUGUGUGCAUGGAAUAAUGGAAUAGGACCUCGGUUCUAUUUUGUUGGUUUUCGGAACCCCGAGGUAAUGAUUAAUAGGAACGGAUGGGGGCAUUCGUAUUGCGACGUUAGAGGUGAAAUUCUUGGAUCGUCGCAAGACGGACAGAAGCGAAAGCAUUUGCCAAAAACGCUUUCAUUGAUCAAGAACGAAAGUUAGAGGUUCGAAGGCGAUCAGAUACCGCCCUAGUUCUAACCAUAAACGAUGCCAGCUAGCGAUCCGUCGACGUUCCUCCGAUGACUCGACGGGCAGCUUCCGGGAAACCAAAGCUUUUGGGUUCCGGGGGAAGUAUGGUUGCAAAGCUGAAACUUAAAGGAAUUGACGGAAGGGCACCACCAGGAGUGGAGCCUGCGGCUUAAUUUGACUCAACACGGGAAACCUCACCAGGCCCGGACACCGGAAGGAUUGACAGAUUGAGAGCUCUUUCUUGAUUCGGUGGGUGGUGGUGCAUGGCCGUUCUUAGUUGGUGGAGCGAUUUGUCUGGUUAAUUCCGAUAACGAACGAGACUCUAGCCUGCUAACUAGGCGUAUUUUCGACAUCUCAAAGGUCCGUCGUCCCGGCCCUCGGGUCGUGGGCGUGUGCGAUUUUUACUGUCGGCGUACUAUCAAUUCUUCUUAGAGGGACAGGUGGCUUCUAGCCGCACGAGAUUGAGCAAUAACAGGUCUGUGAUG
rnacentral:rRNA from 1 species